rnacentral:rRNA from 1 species
UACGUAGGGGGCUAGCGUUGUCCGGAUUUAUUGGGCGUAAAGAGCGUGUAGGCGGCCAGGUAGGUCUGCUGUGAAAGCCCCGGGCUCAACCUGGGAAUGGCGGUUGAAACUGGCGAACUUGAAUCUGGCAGAGGGGGGUGGAAUUCCACGUGUAGCAGUGAAAUGCGUAGAGAUGUGGAGGAACACCGAUGGCGAAGGCAGCCCCCUGGGCUGAGAUUGACGCUCAGGCACGAAAGCGUGGGGAGCAAACAGG